GGGUGAACAAUGGGUCAUCUUCUUCAAUCUGAUUGAAUAAUCAUAACUUCGUCUGCAAUUCUUCAAUAGUUCCAUUCACAGGGAAGAACACCGAUUCAGUGAAAAUCAUCUGCAAUUCUUCUUCAUCGAUUGAAGAACACUGAACAAUGAUUCAACUCCAUCGAGUGAUUCACGGCUUAUGUUCUAUUACGGUUUGAUUUUUUUAUAUUUUUUGCUAUGAUU
rnacentral:lncRNA from 1 species